rnacentral:ncRNA from 2 species
UUGAGGAGGAAAAGAUUAGGUGCCCCGGGAUAAGACCGGGGGUAACAGGGAAUCGGGUGCAACUCCCGAGCGGUCCCGCCACUGUAUUCGGGGAGUCCCGCCCACCCAUGUCACUUGAUGACGCAAGACAUCAGGGAAGACGGGCGAAGAUGAUGAGCCGAGAGCCAGGAGACCUACCUAAUCCGAGCACCCAGA